CAGUAGCCACGGGAAUACGUAGGUGGCAAGCGUUGUCCGGAAUUAUUGGGCGUAAAGCGCGCGCAGGCGGAUAGGUCAGUCUGUCUUAAAAGUUCGGGGCUUAACCCCGUGAUGGGAUGGAAACUGCCAAUCUAGAGUAUCGGAGAGGAAAGUGGAAUUCCUAGUGUAGCGGUGAAAUGCGUAGAUAUUAGGAAGAACACCAGUGGCGAAGGCGACUUUCUGGACGAAAACUGACGCUGAGGCGCGAAAGCCAGGGGAGCGAACGGGAUUAGAUACCCGGGUAGUCCCUGUCUCUUAUACA
rnacentral:rRNA from 1 species